rnacentral:rRNA from 1 species
GAUGAGCGCUGGCGGCGUGCCUAAUACAUGCAAGUCGAGCGGUAAGGCCCCUUCGGGGGUACACGAGCGGCGGACGGCUGAGUAACACGUAGGAACGUACCCCAAAGUGAGGGAUAACUGCUCGAAAGAGUAGCUAAUACCGCAUGUGAUCUAAGGAUUAAAGCUUUAUGCGCUUUGGGAACGGCCUGCGUCCGAUUAGCUUGUUGGUGAGGUAAUAGCUCACCAAGGCGAUGAUCGGUAGCUGGUCUGAGAGGAUGAUCAGCCAGACUGGGACUGAGACACGGCCCAGACUCCUACGGGUGGCAG